rnacentral:rRNA from 1 species
CAGCAGCCACGGGAAUACGAAGGGGGCUAGCGUUGUUCGGAUUGAUUGGGUGUAAAGGGUGUGCAGACGGCUUAUUAAGUCACUUGUUAAAUUCUUCGGCCUAACUGAAGGUCUGCAAGUGAUACUGAUGAGCUAGGGGGUGGAAGAGAGAAGUGGAAUUCUCGGAGUAGCGGUAAAAUGCGUAGAUCUCGAGAGGAACACCAAUGGCGAAGGCAGCUUCUUGGUCCAUUCCUGACGUUCAUGCACGAAAGCGUGGGGAGCGAACAGGAUUAGAGACCCCCGUAGUCCCUGUCUCUUAUAA